AUGCAAUGAUGAGGACAUCUUUGCAGCAACUCUUUCUACCUUUCUCAUGCCUAAUACAAAGAUUCUUCAUCGUGCUGAAUAAAGGAUGUUAUUUCUUUUUUCAACUU